rnacentral:rRNA from 1 species
AAACCAACCGGGAUUGCCCUAGUAACGGCGAGUGAAGCGGCAAGAGCUCAAAUUUGAAAGCUGGCCCCCGCGGGGUCCGCAUUGUAAUUUGCAGAGGAUGCUUCGGGAGCGGUCCCCAUCUAAGUGCCCUGGAACGGGCCGUCAUAGAGGGUGAGAAUCCCGUAUGGGAUGGGGUGCCCGCGCCCGUGUGAAGCUCCUUCGACGAGUCGAGUUGUUUGGGAAUGCAGCUCUAAUUGGGUGGUAAAUUUCAUCUAAAGCUAAAUAUUGGCCGGAGACCGAUAGCGCACAAGUAGAGUGAUCGAAAGAUGAAAAGCACUUUGAAAAGAGAGUUAAAAAGCACGUGAAAUUGUUGAAAGGGAAGCGCUUGCGAUCAGACUCGCCUGCGGGGUUCAGCCGGCCUUCGGGCCGGUGUACUUCCCCGCGGGCGGGCCAGCGUCGGUUUGGGCGGCCGGUCAAAGGCCCCUGGAAUGUAACGCCUCUCGGGGCGUCUUAUAGCCAGGGGUGCCAUGCGGCCUGCCCGGACCGAGGAACGCGCUUCGGCUCGGACGCUGGCAUAAUGGUCGUAAGCGA